UACGGAGGAUGCAAGCGUUAUCCGGAUUUAUUAGGUUUAAAGGGUGCGUAGGUGGGCGUUUAAGUCAGUGGUUAAAGCCAUUAGCUUAACUAAUGUAUGCCAUUGAUACUGGAUGUCUUGAAUGUGGUAGAGGUAGGCGGAAUGUGUUGUGUAGCGGUGAAAUGCAUAGAUAUUACACAGAACACCGAUUGCGAAGGCAGCUUACUAAUCCAUCAUUGACGCUGAGGCACGAAAGCGUGGGGAUCAAACAGGAUUAGA
rnacentral:rRNA from 1 species